GUGUCGAGUUGCCGUGUUGCUGCGUUGCCUGUUGACGUUGCUGGUUGACGUGUCCAAAGACUCGCAGCUCAGUGACUCGGUGAGACAGAAGCUGAUGAGUCAAACGUCUCUGUGUCUCAGACUGUUGGACGCCUGUUGCCAUGGAGACCUGCAGUGUCUCCUCCAGCAGGUGAACAGCAGCUGCUGCAGCCCAGAGGUGCUCAGUUGCUUAGCAACAGUAACUGUGACGACAGAGAGGUGACACAGCGGCAGAACACCCGGAUCACCUGGAGUCAGGCUGUGAGACGCAGUGGGUGCAGAGCUUCGUGUCUCCUGACAGACAGGACUCGGGGCGGACAGCUCAGGAUCAGCAGUGAGUCCAGCUGGUCCAGCCGGCGCUUCAGUCCCUGUAAGCUGUCCUCCGUCUCCAGUCGUCUCACCUCCAGAUUCUCCUGCUGGUUCCACAAACUGCAGCGCAGACGAGCCUCAACAACCAAACAACAAACAUCAGUCAGGUUUUCACUCUCGUCACCGCUCACACGCUCAGGCUUCGUCUUCAUGUUCACGUUACAUGUCCACAUGUUACAUGUUCACAUGUUACAUGUUCACAUGUUACAUGUUCACAUCACUGCACGCAGACUACGGUCGUAUGAACCAUGAGGCACAAAGACGACAAGAGGGUUUAAAGCUUAAAAUUGGAGUCAAUAAGUCAAUUAAAGUGUAUUUUACUAUUCAAAAACAAAAAGUUCACACCAGCUGGUAUUAAAAAAUCAGACUGGAUCAUUUAGAUUUCAUCAGCUCUAAAGUUUGGACAUUUUACUGUGGAAUUAAAACAGUUUGAAUUGAACUUUAAAUCUGGAUGUAUUUAAAUUGUUGAUUGGAAAAGUUUGUUUCUUCUGUAAUUUAAUGCUAGAAUAAAGUUUACCUUCAGUCGG